rnacentral:lncRNA from 1 species
UGUAAUGUUUCAGCAGUGGCCUGAGUCUUAAUGUGCGUUUCAGUCUUUGUAGAUAGAUCAUGUCACACGUCAGCUGAGACUUUGGGAGCUUAAAGGCAGGACAUGUUUUACAGGGUUCACGCAUGAUGUUUUCUAGAAUUGGUUGGCAGCGACAUCUAGUGGUCAGAGGCAAAAGUGCACAUCCUUUAGAGCUGCCCAGAAGGAAACUAUCAUAAAGUACUGUUUUCAUUGAGAGAUGGCAAUAGACUAAAUAGAGCAAAUGAAAUAAAUGGAACUAGAUUUCUGUGGUUAAGAACUGGGUGAACUUCUAACUAGAAGAGAAAAUUCUCCUUAUGACAACACCAACUAUGCUGAGCCGGGGGAUGGUGGUAAUGAUGGCUGCAGUUGUAGUGACAGAAGGCAAGUGAUGGUGUAAGAAUGUGUCUAGGUUCAUCUGUGGGGUUAGCAAUAACUGGUGGCUAGGCAUGGAUGUUUUCCUGGGUACCAUGACUAGAUUCUGGGAUCAGAGAGCCUCAGGAACCACCUUAUGACAUACAGAGAAAUACAGGAUGUGUGAGUCUCGGACAAAGGGAGCCAGUUGCUGCUACGGUCCUAGAGUAGGGAAGGCUGCUGGCUGGCUGCAGAGGAGGAGAGGCAGAGCAGGGGUUGGGGGAGUUGGCCUUGAACAGCCUAGGGGAGAGUGGACCACUUGUCCUGAACAGACACAAUUGACAUUCAGUAGGGAUAAUUCACACUGCCCUGCCCAGGUUUAACUGCUCUGAGCCUCAUUUCUCACUCACGUAAAGUGGGGUUGGUAACGUAGCAGCCCUGCAAGGUUGUGAAGAUUAAACCAGAAGCUGCACAUAGAUCCUUGUCUCAUCUGGCCUUGUUACUCUCUGAAGGACGGAGUUGAGAAGAAGACGAAGAACGGGACCCAGGGAGCAGCUCCCUCUAACUGUGUUAUCUUCCACACAGGCAGAAACUUUCCGGGAGCUUUGCAGGGAGGCUGGCUGGCACGGCUACUCUGCGUCUCUGGCUCCAGCCCCAUUAGUCUCCCACGAUCCCUUCAGAUCUUUCACACACCUGAGCACCCUGAGAAGCCGUGAUCAGGUUGAAGGCAGAACAUUGAUCUUAAGAACGUAAGAACUGUUGUUAGAAUUGAUCAUUCUGCGGAGAUUGUUAAUACGCAGAGAUCAUUGAUACACAGAGAAUACAGGGGUGGAGGCAGAGAGGCCGAUAUUUACCCAGCCUGGGCCAACUGUCCCUACACACGUUCUUUAGGUUUGAAGUCUUUCAAAGUACAAAGUUGGACAGGGGAAAGUGGAAGGUUUGCCAUUUUCCUUCCUGCCUAAAGUGUGUCUUUAGUGGAGGGAGGUUGGGCUGGAGCCCUGAAGCCUGUCCUGUGUUCUUCCCCUUUCUUGUCUGACUUCUCUGGGUUUCCUAAGUACUGUUCAGAACCAGAACAUGAUGAGCUGUCCAAGCUCUUGACCCAGCUUGCCCUCCAGCUCCCAAGCAGGAAAACAGAACGAAACAACAGUGCUGUAAAGCAAAACACCUAGCUCACGCCCCAGUAUGGUCACUGUUGGGCCCCCUGCUGGCAGUUUUCAGAACUGCGCCAGCCUGACUUUUGUUUGUUGUUUGUUUGGUUUUUUUUGUUUGUUUGUUUUCAUUUUAAAGGGUCAUUAAUAAGCUGUGCUCUUCUUUGGGAAAGCAUUUUUGAAAUGUAUGUUCAAAGCCAUCCUCUGCCCCAUUCCCUCUAAGGAAGCAGGCGCCACUUAACCAGCGCGCUGUGUUGGGUUCAAGCAAAAUGGGGUUGCAACAUGUUUCAAAGGUGUGCAACAGAUGUUCUCUGAGGGCUUGCUUAUUUGUUUAUUUGGAAGAAAGAAGGUCUGAGGCAAAAGCUGGAAGGAAAGAUAGGAACACCCUGUCAACUUAAAACCUGACAAUCCCAUAAUCACCUAAGCUCAAAGCUUUUAUCUCCAGCCGAUACAGAAAGAAAGAAAAGAAAAAACACUAAGAGGUCUGGGGAUGCAGCUCACUUAUAGAAUGCUUGCCCGGAAUCAGGAGGCAUUCCCAGAACUGCAUGGUACUGGGCAUAGCAGCAGACACCUGUAAACCCAGCACUACAAGGUGGAGCCAGUCGGAUCUGGAAUUCAAAGAUGUCCUCAGCUACAUGAGUUCAAGGCCAACCUGGGCUACAUGAAUAAGACCCUGUCUC